GACGAACGCUGGCGGCGUGCCUAAUACAUGCAAGUUGAGCGCUGAAGGUUGGUACUUGUACCAACUGGAUGAGCAGCGAACGGGUGAGUAACGCGUGGGGAAUCUGCCUUUGAGCGGGGGACAACAUUUGGAAACGAAUGCUAAUACCGCAUAAAAACUUUAAACACAAGUUUUAAGUUUGAAAGAUGCAAUUGCAUCACUCAAAGAUGAUCCCGCGUUGUAUUAGCUAGUUGGUGAGGUAAAGGCUCACCAAGGCGAUGAUACAUAGCCGACCUGAGAGGGUGCUCGGCCACAUUGGGACUGAGACACGGCCCAAACUCCUACGGGAGGCAGCAGUAGGGAAUCUUCGGCCAUGGACGAAAGUCUGACCGAGCAACGCCGCGUGAGUGAAGAAGGUUUUCGGAUCGUAAAACUCUGUUGGUAGAGAAGAACGUUGGUGAGAGUGGAAAGCUCAUCAAGUGACGGUAACUACCCAGAAAGGGACGGCUAACUACGUG
rnacentral:rRNA from 1 species